rnacentral:rRNA from 1 species
CUACGGGGUGCACCAGUGGGGAAUAUUGGACAAUGGGGGAAACCCUGAUCCAGCAAUGCCGCGUGUGUGAAGAGGCCUGCGGGUUGUAAAGCACUUUCGGUUGGGAGGACUGCUUCUAGCACUAAUAUUGUUGGAAGUUGACGUUACCUUCAGAAGAAGCACCGGCUAACUCCGUGCCAGCAGCCGCGGUAAUACGGAGGGGGCAAGCGUUAAUCGGAAUUACUGGGCGUAAAGCGCGCGUAGGCGGCUAGAUCAGUCGGGUGUGAAAGCCCCGGGCUUAACCUGGGAACUGCAUCCGAUACUGUCUAGCUUGAGUACAGGAGAGGAGAGUGGAAUUCCACAUGUAGCGGUGAAAUGCGUAGAUAUGUGGAGGAACACCAAUGGCGAAGGCAGCUCUCUGGCCUGAUACUGACGCUGAGGUGCGAAAGCGUGGGGAGCAAACAGGAUUAGAUACCCCCGUAGUC